GUAGUGAGGGGCUACCCCGGCCGGGCGCUGAGCGCGAGCCCCGGGCGCUGAGUGACGCUGGGGGAGGCGCUGGGAGCGCUCCUGCGGCGGAGCGGGACGAGCGGGGAGCCGGGCUGCAGCCGGGGGGCCGCUGUGCGGGUGUACGGGACCGGGUGCGGUACUACACAUUUCAGAAUCAUGGAGACAUGCUGAAUAAGGAGAGAAGGGGGGCUGUAUGGAGACGGAGGGCUGUCCAGUCCUACAGGAAGUGUUUCGCAAACAAUGGCAAUACAGUAAUAAUGCUCUGCAUUUAUGUAGUAUUUUUCAUCCAGAGGUGUCAGCACGCUUCAAAAAAGUGCUUAUGAAUCAGUAUCUUAUUUCACAGCCUGCAAACACAAGGUCCAAAGAUGUCCAUGAGAAGAUUUGCGUAUGCAGUACAGAUCUGCAUUGCUGUUUGGAAGAGAAAAUUGUUGCCCUUGGUUUUACCUUUUGUGAAUGCCCUAACCCUAACCCUGUCCUUUCCCUCACAUGAGGCACACAGCCUUACAACAACUGUGAUUUGGGAUGAGGGAAUGAUGGUUUUAGAGAUAGCAGAAUGCUUUACAACUCUUUAGAAAUGUUAAAAUGGAGAUGUUUUUAAAAAUAUAUACAUACUGGUCCAGAAAAUAGUGAGGUGGGUGUUCAUUCAGAUGAAAUGAUUAGUGAGUGAGUCACAAUACUACAGAAGGACAGCGAGGGAGGACAGGCAGCAAGUAUUUGGAUUCUGGCACAGCUGUGGUUACAAGUGUGGCUCUGAAGAGGCAAACAGUACAUAAGGUCUUAGCAUCAUGUGGCUACACUGGAACUCAGCUUCUGCAGACUCUAAGAUUUCUUAUAAAAAAGAAAAGUACCUUUCUAGGCCCCUAGGGCUGCAGGGUGACUCUUUCAAGCAUGGAGAACAUGCACACGAAAGCUUAUGCUCAAACAAAUUUGUUAGUCUCUAAGGUGCCACAAGUACUCCUGUUCUUCUUACUAGUGUCAUGGUGUCUGCUUGAAUCCAGACCACCUGAAAUAGUGAUUCAGAGGGUGAAUCACCCUUACCCUGUUGAUCUCAAUCCUGAGGCAAUGCUAAAGCGCAGUGAGGACACUUCAUUGUCACCAUUACUGGUAUCAUUGCCAGGGGCAGCUCCAGGCACCAGCACGCCAAGUGCGUGCCUGGGGCGGCAAGCCACGGGGGGCGCUCUGCUGGUCGCUGCAAGGGCGGCAGGCAGGUUGCCUUCAGCAGCAUG